rnacentral:rRNA from 1 species
GACGAACGCUGGCGGCGUGCUUAACACAUGCCAGUCGAACGGAAAGGCCCUGCUUUUGUGGGGUGCUCGAGUGGCGAACGGGUGAGUCACACGUGAGUAACCUGCCCUUGACUUUGGGAUAACUUCAGGAAACUGGGGCUAAUACCGGAUAGGAGCUCCUGCUGCAUGGUGGGGGUUGGAAAGUUUCGGCGGUUGGGGAUGGACUCGCGGCUUAUCAGCUUGUUGGUGGGGUAGUGGCUUACCAAGGCUUUGACGGGUAGCCGGCCUGAGAGGGUGACCGGCCACAUUGGGACUGAGAGACGGCCCAGACUCCUACGGGAGGCAGCAGUGGGGAAUAUUGCACAAUGGGCGGAAGCCUGAUGCAGCAACGCCGCGUGCGGGAUGACGGCCUUCGGGGUGUAAACCGCUUUCGCCUGUGACGAAGCGUGAGUGACGGUAAUGGGUAAAGAAGCACCGGCUAACUACGUG